AACGAACGCUGGCGGCGUGGAUAAGACAUGCAAGUCGAACGGGAGAAUUGCUAGCUUGCUAAUAAUUCUCUAGUGGCGCACGGGUGAGUAACACGUGAGUAACCUGCCCCCGAGAGCGGGAUAGCCCUGGGAAACUGGGAUUAAUACCGCAUAGUAUCGAAAGAUUAAAGCAGCAAUGCGCUUGGGGAUGGGCUCGCGGCCUAUUAGUUAGUUGGUGAGGUAACGGCUCACCAAGGCGAUGACGGGUAGCCGGUCUGAGAGGAUGUCCGGCCACACUGGAACUGAGACACGGUCCAGACACCUACGGGUGGCAGCAGUCGAGAAUCAUUCACAAUGGGGGAAACCCUGAUGGUGCGACGCCGCGUGGGGGAAUGAAGGUCUUCGGAUUGUAAACCCCUGUCAUGUGGGAGCAAAUUAAAAAGAUAGUACCACAAGAGGAAGAGACGGCUAACUCUGUGCCAGCAGCCGCGGUAAUACAGAGGUCUCAAGCGUUGUUCGGAAUCACUGGGCGUAAAGCGUGCGUCGCCUGUUUCGUAAGUCGUGUGUGAAAGGCGCGGGCUCAACCCGCGGACGGCACAUGAUACUGCGAGACUAGAGUAAUGGAGGGGGAACCGGAAUUCUCGGUGUAGCAGUGAAAUGCGUAGAUAUCGAGAGGAACACUCGUGGCGAAGGCGGGUUCCUGGACAUUAACUGACGCUGAGGCACGAAGGCCAGGGGAGCGAAAGGGAUUAGAUACCCCUGUAGUCCUGGCAGUAAACGGUGCACGCUUGGUGUGCGGGGAAUCGACCCCCUGCGUGCCGGAGCUAACGCGUUAAGCGUGCCGCCUGGGGAGUACGGUCGCAAGAUUAAAACUCAAAGAAAUUGACGGGGACCCGCACAAGCGGUGGAGUAUGUGGCUUAAUUCGAUGCAACGCGAAGAACCUUACCUGGGCUUGACAUGUAAUGAACAACAUGUGAAAGCAUGCGACUCUUCGGAGGCGUUACACAGGUGCUGCAUGGCCGUCGUCAGCUCGUGUCGUGAGAUGUUUGGUUAAGUCCAGCAACGAGCGCAACCCCUGUUGCCAGUUACCAGCACGUGAAGGUGGGGACUCUGGCGAGACUGCCCAGAUCAACUGGGAGGAAGGUGGGGACGACGUCAGGUCAGUAUGGCCCUUAUGCCCAGGGCUGCACACGUACUACAAUGCCCAGUACAGAGGGGGCCGAAGCCGCGAGGCGGAGGAAAUCCUAAAAACUGGGCCCAGUUCGGACUGUAGGCUGCAACCCGCCUACACGAAGCCGGAAUCGCUAGUAAUGGCGCAUCAGCUACGGCGCCGUGAAUACGUUCCCGGGUCUUGUAAU
rnacentral:rRNA from 1 species